rnacentral:sRNA from 1 species
UUUAUUUCUUUUUCAACAAAUUAUUCUCCUGAGCGGUCGUGCUCCGUAGAGAUAAAACAAAAAUGACUUUGCUAAUGCAGACAUACAACGGUGGAAUGUUCCACAAGCACAGAAUAAGCUAAUUAUAACUGAGGAUGCAAUUAAAAUGCCUGGAUUAAAAAGCUGCAUAAGAAACCACGUGGUCGUAGAGACAGCCGGCAUGGAGCUCCAUAGAUUCCCCUCAAUGGCAGUUGCAGUUCACAAGAUGCAUCUUAUUGACCUGAAAACACGUGCUUAAGAAUGGCGUUGAAUGGUGGAAGCACAUUUUGGAAAAACCCUCAAAAUAAAACAUCUAUAAUGAUGAUCUUUGAGAGAAAAAUACCCUUUCCUAGAAGGUUGAAGCUUCUGUUUUAUGAGGAUUAACCCUAUGGUCUGGAACAUUCCUUGCAAGGAAAUGACACCAUUUCUCAUUCAAAACUAAGCUUCUUCUGGACUGAGUUGGGAAAUUUUACUGAAUGGAGCGUUAAUUGUUGUGGUGUGGAUGGUCAGCUAAUAUCCUGAACCGUUCCUGAAACACUAGACCUAUAAGAUUCAGAUAUUAAGAUGGUCAGAUGUUAUUUGCGAGGUGGAAAAGUAUUUUGGGUAUCUAUAUUAAAGAUUCUUUAAAAAAUGGAAAUCGAAGACUACUUUUAAAGAGAAGUAUGGAGUGAAUGAUGAAUAAAUGAUCCUAAUACUUAUGGUCUAAUGGUCUAAGUUGACGAGGUGAUUCCAGAUACAGAUAGAUUCCAGUUUUUAAUGGAAUCAUUCAGAUUUUCCUUUGAUUCCAAAGUCUUCAACGCAAAAAUUACUAUUCAUCUUUAUAUACUAAUAAAAAUAAAUAAUAUUAAAAAUUAAA